GAAAUGCGAUAAGUAAUGUGAAUUGCAGAAUUCAGUGAAUCAUCGAAUCUUUGAACGCACCUUGCGCUCCUUGGUAUUCCUUGGAGCAUGCCUGUUUGAGUAUCAUGAAAUCUUCAAAGUAAAUCUUUUGUUAACUCAAUUGGUUUCUACUUUGGUAUUGGAGGUCUUUGCAGCUUCACACCUGCUCCUCUUUGUUCAUUAGCUGGAUCUCAGUGUUAUGCUUGGUUCCACUCGGCGUGAUAAGUGAUCUAUCGCUGAGGACACUGUAAAAGGUGGCCAAGGUAAAUGCAGAUGAACCGCUUCUAAUAGUCCAUUGACUUGGACAAUACUUUUAUGAUCUGAUCUCAAAUCAGGUAGGACUACCCGCUGAACUUAAGC
rnacentral:misc_RNA from 1 species